CGCCCACCCUGGGCGGAGUCACUGAUGAUAGUGGAGAUCCCGCCCUGCAGCAGCACUGAUUGGACGAUGACAGCCAAGAGCCCGGCAAAGAUGAUGCCCACCUGGAAUACAUCCGUCCACACCACUGCCUUUAGACCGCCCUACCAGGGUGCUGGUUAUUCCCAGUCUGUAGAAGAUUGGCAGGAAAAUCUCAGAGCUCACAGCCACCAUCAGAAAAUAAGCAAAGCAGAUGAGGAUGAAGAUGGCUCCGUACUGAUACACCUCCACCGGGGUCCCCAGAACGGUGAUGGCUGACAUGAAGCUGGCUGUCAGUGACAGAGCCACCGGCACUGCCGUCAUACUCCGUCCACCCACCAGAAAGUCUGCCGAGCUGCUCUGACCUCGUCCGCUGAAGGCGUAGUAAACCCCGAUGCCUGCUGAGAUCACCAGCAUUAAGGCGAAGACCACAUAGUCCCACACACUGAAAGACGCCGCACUUGCCAUCUUGGUGCACGUCUGAACUUCUUUAAGAGAGACUCUUGAUUUUACAAGGCAGGCUUUGAGGCUCUUUUGGCUAAAUAUUAUCAGUGAGCAUCAGGAAUUUACUCAUUGAAAGCUGAUUGUUAGUUCAGAGUUUGAGUCAUGACAGAAAGAGGUGUUAUUUAGUCAGAGAGUCUAAGCCAAAGUUACUCACCGUGAUUGUUCCUGGAGCUGCAUGCUUGUCAUCGUCCCGCCCCAUCACAUUCAUUCCUCCUUACUUAUACUGCAGUGCUCCCAAAUAGAUACAAAUACUCUACAAUUAUGAACUUAAAUAAUUCACUCCCUAUUAAUAACAAAAGCUGCCUAAUGAUAUUAACCUUCCAAUAUUACUAAUGUUUUGUGUAUCUGUUUAUAGAUUAAUUACUUCCAAUUAUAGGUUUCUCUGCCUUCAGAGUAAUGAGUUAUACCCAGCUGACCAGCAGGUGGCUCCCACACAGGACCUCAUAAAGAAGAUCAGCUCCUCAUCAGAGCAGGAAAUGGGUGAAGAGGUAGAAAGGGAAGAAGAUCCCUAGAAAAUCAGCAGUCAAGAAAGAGAUUAUCUUAUUUUCUAACAUUCGCCUUUGUGUUCUAGCAGCUCAUGGCACAGUUGAAGGUCUUUUCCAAAUUCACCAAUCCAAAAACUUUAUAUAUGGAGGCAAAACUAAGUGAACUGUACACCCAACUUCUGUGCCAUAAAGACCAACAAAUCCAGAAAAAAGCACUGGACUGUUUGAUGACAUACAAAGACCCAAACAUACUGGGCUACAAAGAACACCUGGAGAGACUUCUGAAUGAAAAGCACUUUAAAGAUGAUAUUGUCCGUUUCAACAUCUCAGAGGAAGGAGCCAUGGUACUUCCGUCGCAUAGAACCCAGCUCACUCCCAUACUUAUGAGCUGCCAUCGGGAUGAGAUUCACUUUGGUCACCGAGCACGUUAAGAGAGAUGAGAUAUGAGAUACCUGACUGCUGUCAUGCACAACACUUUCCAUUCUCUAGAGAUCGGUGACAUGUCUCUGGCAGACAGCGCCACCAUGUGUUUGUCAGCUGUAAUAACGCAGCUCAGUGAAGUCGGAUGCCCAGAGGCAGAUGAAGAACGAGAUUGUGCACUACAUCAUACUGGAUACAAUACGAAAAGAUGAGAGAGCUUGUCCUGUCCUUCUCUUACCAACUUUAGUCAACGUUCUUGGAUAUUUCUGCUGGAGAGCAGAGUCUGAUAGCACAAAUCCAGCUGAAGAACAGGAGGGUGAGUAGAAAGAAAUGACAGACAACAUGGAGGAGAAUGAAGAGGAAUAUAAGAACCAGGAGCUUGAGGAGCAACAGACGCACCGAAAGUGCCUUUGAAGGUGGGCGUUAAAUCAGUCUUUCUGUUUAUGCUUGACUUCUCUGAAUGAUACAGAUAGAUCGCUGGUAGGAACAUCCUCUGAUUUAAGGAUCUCCAGCUCAGGGAUCCGAGAUAAGCAAAAGUUUGCAAAGGUAAACUAGUUUUUCUAGUUCUCUCUGACUUUUGUAGCAGUGCAGAAAGAAGCCGUUCAGAGACGAGCUUCACACAAGAAAGCCAAAGCCAUGCAGGUAAAACAUGUUUCUGAAUGCUGCUCUAAAGUGUGUCACUGGUUGUUCUUCUAGUCUUCAGAGACAACUAUAAAUAAACCAUUUGUUUGUUAAUUUCCAGGUUACGCAUCUUUACAACCAAAGUAAAAAUUAAACGUUAAUUAUAUUCAUGAUUUCCCUUCACAGGCUGAUGUAAAUCCUGACAUUGCUGCCAGAAAGAAGGUAAAGAAGCGGUUAAAGAAAAACGAGGCCAAAAAGCAGAAAAUCGCAUGUGUGUACAGGAUAUAAAGCAAAGAAACAAAGCCACAUCAGCGAAAAACUUGGCUAUAAUCAGCUGAUUCAUUCACCAUGUGUAUCAGUAUGUGUUUUUUUGCAACGUUUUUAUAUAAACAACAAAAAAAAAACUUGCAAAACCAGCCCAGCCAUUGAUGUUAUAUGCAUAAUGUAAUACGUGUUGACUGCAUAUUUAUUUCACAGCCAUAAUGCAGGAGUGCACGCCCCUGUACACGUCCAAAUAUAAAUAUGCCAAUACAAAUCCAAAUCAUACAAACGACAGCCAGUCUUAAAUAUCUACCCAAAUAAUAUCAAACCGAGCUGCAGUGAUUAUUCCGAAACUAGGCUAAAUUUAAAAAGCAGACACUUCUGAAAUUACAAACGUAGUGAAUACAGUUUACCGAAAACAAGCAUCAGUAGAGACGAGAAGAAAAAAGGAGAAGUUCAUUCGUGGAGAGUCCGUUCAAUGCCACUCAACAUUUCUGUACUAAAUGGGAAAAUAGGAUGGUCUUCACACAAUAGGAAGAAUGCAGUCACUGGUCCAAAGGACCCCCAAUAAGAAGUCUCUGAAGUUCCUAUUUAUAAGAUUUUUCUGUGCUUUUGCAUUUACUGUCGGCUCUUCAGUGACUCAACCAACCUGAAAUAUGGAAGAACAGGAGGUAUUAGUAAAUACAAUGCAAAGAAUUUUUAUUUAAACUGUCAAAAAGUAAAACUCUUACCAUUCCAUUGCCUCGUCCAGGCCUGUGCCUUUAGUAGCAGACGUCUUGAAGAUCUGCCACUUCCUGUCUUUGAGUGCAGGUAAACCGAGAGCGUUAGCCACUUCGGUAGGAGUCAUGGCCUGUUCCAUAUCCUGCUUGUUUGCAAACACCACCAGAAUGGCUUUCUUCAGCUCCUCCUCCUGAAAGACAAGGCUGAUGACUUUAACUCUUUAAAAAUACAGCUUAUGUCACGAAAACAAAUCCCUUGUAUGCGCAAGCAUAUUUGGCAAUAAAGCUCUUUCUGAUUUUUCAACUUGAAACGCAGCAUAACAAUCUGACCAACCUCCAGCAUGGCCACCAGCUCAGAUUUGGAGAUGCCCAU